GAUGAAGAACACAGCUAGCUGUGAGAAUUAAUGUGAAUUACAGGACACACUGAUCAUCAACACUUCAAACACACUUGCAGCCC
rnacentral:rRNA from 1 species